CACACACACACACACACACACACACACUUUAUCGGCGGCGGCGGCCUGAACGACGACAUAAACAGGCGAUUGACAUCAUAUGUGCUGCGUGUAGAAAGAAGAAGACAUGCAGGUCUUAUCUCACACAUCAGGUCUCAACAACGAACAACCCUCUGUCUUCUAUUACUGAUGCAUGGUGAAUCAAAUGAAUCGAAACUCGAGCUCGAUGACGCAAACAGCAGUCUUGGCUGUGUGCUUCCUUGACUGAAGGACGGCUGAUCCGCUGCCUCCCCACCACUUAAGCGCAUAAACUGUGUGCGAUAUGGGACAUCCCCCCUUGGUGGAUAGUUCUCCCAUACAUUCCCAGUAUUUGG